AUGGAGUUCUCACUGUUCCUAGCUGCCCUCUGCUGGAGAGGAGAUGGAGAAGCUCCUCAGCCCUUUCUUCUUCCACUCCUCCUCUGCACCCCUGGUGGUGAAAGAGCAGGACCCACAUCAGCUGCAGUAGCAGAGGACCUGGAACAGUGGAGAAACUGCCCACACACACACAGAGCUUUACACGCAUGUCCAUGCAGCAUUCUCAAAUACUCUCUUUUCAAGAACCACAUUCUUGAAAACCACAUUCAAACACACACAAAAGCAGAAAGGCUCAACACCAUACACUUGAGUUUUGACUGCUAUGUAAAUAAUAUAAAAGUAUUUUCUUUUUUCUGUUCAACAUGCCUUAACUGUGGCGAUACGCCUUUGUGUGGCAAACUCAAAAACAUAUAUUAACAAUAAGAGUGAAAGCCAGUUGGAGAACCUGAUAAGGACUAUAACAUUUGAAUAAGGGGGGGUGGUGUCAAUGUUCUACUUACCGAGACGGUGUUUUAUUGGCCAACAAUACUGCUGUAUGUUACUUUAUUUCUGUCCAGCAUCUAUGGCAACAAAGUAGAACUGAAGGCAAUCCCUGAGGACGAUGAUUAAGACUGAUGGUUUGCCUUUUUUCAAAGCAAGAUGAACUGUUCUGUUAUCCAGUUUUAAAUGCCCAGACAUGUAGCUGAAGAUGCAGGCUGAGGAUUCUGAAGCCUGUGUAUUAUGGAGCUGAGCUGACCAGGAAGGGUGUGUUAAAUAGAUCCAUAUGCUCCUUUACAGUUCUACACAGUGCCCCACUACAUAUUACUGUGUACCCCAUCACUGCAGUCAUUUUUUGACCCAAUGAUUUUUCACAGUUUGAGACUUGAUUUGAAAGAAGUGUUUUUAUCCUAUUGAGGACCACCCAUUUAAAAUGAAGGAUAUACAGUGACCUCUGUUGUUAUUGGGACGUUGAAGCAGAUCUUUCUUAUUUUGGCUCUGCACUCCACAAGUUUUGAUUUUAAAUCAAACAAUUAUGAGGUUAAAGCAUAGGUUCUCUGCUUUUAUUUGAGGGCAUUUGUGUACAUAUUGGUUCCACCAUUUAGAAACGACAACACUCUUUGUGCAUAGUCACCCCUAUUUCAAGGAACCAAAUGUAUUGGGACAAAUUCACCUAUGUGUUUUAAUGUAGUGAAAAGUGAAACAUUUGGUCCCAUAUUCAUAGCACGCGAUUGUUACAUCCGCAAUGUGACUACAAACUUGUUGGAUGCAUUUGCUGUUUGUUUUGGUUGUUUCAGAUUCAUUUGUGCCCAAUAGAAAUGAAUGGUAAAUGUGUUGUCAUUUGGAAUCACUUUUAUUGUAAAUAGGAAUAUAAGAAUUAUGUUUCUAAACACUUCUACAUUAAUGUGGAUGCUACCAUUAUUACAGAUAAUCCUGAAUGAGUCAUGGAUAAUGAUGAGUGAGAUCAUACCCCCAAUACAUGCUCACCAAUACAAUAACAGGAAGUUAGCAUUUUUGGGAGGUAUGAUAUUUGUGCGUUUUUAACUUUCUCACUCAUCAUUAUUCACAAUUAAUUCAGAAUUAUUGGUAUUCAUGGUAGCAUCCACAUUCAUGAAGUGUUUGUAAACAUUCUUAUUAACAAUAAAAAGUGAUUCUAAAAUGACCCAACACAUUUACCAUGAAUUUCUUUUGGGCACAAAGUAAUUUGAAACACAACCAAAACAAACAGCAAAUGCAUCCAACUAAUUUGUUUAGUCACAAGUUUGAUGUAGCCAUUGUGUGCUAUGAAUAUGGGACCAAAUAUUUCACUUUUUACUACUUUAAUACACACGUAAGUGAAUUUGUCCCAAUAUUUUUGGGAUGAUGUAUAAAAAGUGUUGUCAUUUGUAAAUGGUGAAACCAAUAUGUACACAAAUGCCCUCAAAUAAAAUGGGAGAAUGUAUAGUUUAACCUCGUAGUAAUUGUUCGAUUUCAAAUCCAAACUUUUGGAGUAUAGAGCCAUAAGAACACAAAAUGCUUCAGUGUUCCAAUAAUUAAAGGGCACUAUCUCUUCUUGGUGGUCCUCUGAGUAGAUUGUCUAUUUGACACUUUGAUUACUGACCAUUGUACAGAUUAUGUCCUCGUAUAUUAGAAGCAUCUUACUAACGUUAUUGAAUGGCUGUGUAUGUUACUUGUAUGUAUGCCAUCUAUGCAGUUGAUCAUGGGUUUGUCUGUCUCUUUAAUAGAAACCAGGAUUUCAAUGGAGAAGCUCAAUUCUUCCCCUGUCAGUCAGGUUGAAUGGAUUCAUUGUUUUGUAAGUGUUUUCCUACUGCUUCGGUUGGUCAAACAAAUGAAUAUUAACUUUGGGAGAUGAGACCCUCUACUUUGAGUGGAAAGUGUUUUAUAUAUAUAUAGUUUGGAUCAGUUGAUAUAUUAGUUAAUGCAACUGGAGGAAUAUCUAAAAUGUCACUGAAGCAUUUUAUGAAUACUGUGGAUUUUGACUUCAAUCUUUCAACUCCAUCCGUGUGGGAUAAGAAUGCCCUCUAUUAACUGGUUUGCAGUGAACUGUUAAUAUGUAGCUAUCUCUAAAUUAUUAUUCUCUGAGUUAUAUUUGGGUGUUUCAUUUUUUAAAAGUUAGCAUUGUCUUUGUUGGAGUAAUUGUUGGUCACCUGUAGGUGAACAGUGGGUCUGUUCUGUCUUUCUGUUAAUCAUUGAAGUUCAAAGUGAUUGAUGUUUUGGCACUGUGAUGCCCCUGGGUGAGAUUGCCAUGCCUUUGAUGUAUGAAUUCCAUAAAGAUGUAUGAUUCAUUAACAAACCAAUUUUGAUCAAAUGAUAUCCAUUUUCUUUUUCACCCAAAUGGUCGGCUCAGUUCCAUCGCUUAAACGUUUAGAAUAUUUUAGAGAUAAGUAACAUAAAAACAAAUGCAUUCAGAAAAAUAACCUAAAAAGUGUAAAUAGUUUGGGUUUUGUUGGUUUGAGAACAAAAAAUGAUUCAAUAAAAUGCAUUUAAUAAUGGAUUUGACUGACUGUUUCUGCUAUGUUUCUGUUCUUACUAUCAAUUGUUAUUCAUUUUACUCAAACAGACAAACUCAUAAAAUGGAACAUGCCUAACUAUACUGAACAAAAAUAUAAAUGCAACAUGUAACAAUUCCAAAGAUUUUACUGAGUUACAGUUCAUAUUGUGGCAGCCCAGGGGAGUCAGAGGUGAAACUCACAAAAUAAGAUGGCGGGAGACCGUUUUGAGGUGCUCAAACAAAAGUUGUUCUUCAAGGUUGGGAGGAAUACAACUGAAAGGCCUCUCGGGUAACGGAUGGGUCACUUGGUGUCCGGUGUGGCAGCUCCUCGGACCGCCUAGGGUAAUGAACAACAAAAGAGAGAGAGCGAUGAUUCCGGUCUUUCGAUACUUGUUCUCAACUUGCGCCGGGUGGUGUGCUGCCCGGGAAUGGGUCCGCUUCCUUUCAGGGGAAAGAAAUGGAAGUGAGAGAGAGGUGAGUCAAACAUUGCCUAGUAUCUUCUUUGGCGUCUGAUCGAGGUGCGUACGCUCUGCCUGUCUGCCCGAGUGACUACACCUCUACUUAUACUCACUUGGUGGGACCAAUUCCAGGUGCCAAUUGGUUGCAGCACCUGGACUGAGUAGUAAUUGUGUUGAAUCAACAGCCCCAGUUGGUGCCUGUCCAUGGUACUGACUCACCUUGGCUCUCUAGCCCUCUGGAGCUGACCAAGGCCUUUCUUUGCAGCUCCCUGCUGGCCCCCGGGUUGCCACAAUAUGCGCUGUAAGAGCUUUCGUACUCAAACCACUGCACUGUAAGAAUUGUAAAGGAUUUGGCCAUGUUUCAAGUGUGUGCAGACAGAGUAUGCUGAAUAACUGUGUAGAAGGCUGACGGUGGGGAUCAUGAUCCCAGGUUCCUGGAGUGCCCUGUAAGGGUGAAAGAGAUUGAGCAGGUAAAAGUUAGAGCGGUCAAACAAAGGCUAUUAAUAGAAUUGAGAAAACAAGUGAUGCUAGUGAAGACAUGGUAGUGGAUGCACCACAGCCUGUUGUAAAUGUUUGCUGCCAGUUGAAAGAUUGGAUUUUGUGGUGUUCAUUGCCACAGUUAUAAACUGUAUGGUACAAGUCUCAAAGACUUCUAAGAAACUGGCAUUUUUGUGGCUGCAUCAGAAAAGUUUUUGGGACUGGUGCCGGUGCUGGUUCCCCUAG
rnacentral:lncRNA from 13 species